rnacentral:rRNA from 1 species
AUUGAACGCUGGCGGCUUGCUUUACACAUGCAAGUCAAACGGUAACAGGUCUUCGGAUGCUGACAAGUGGCGAACGGGUGAGUAAUGCAUCGAAACGUGCCCAGUCGUGGGGGAUAACGCAGCGAAAGCUGCGCUAAUACCGCAUACAAUCUAUGGAUGAAAGCGGGGGACCGUAAGGCCUCGCGCGAUUGGAGCGGCCGAUGUCAAAUUAGGUAGUUGGUGGGGUAAAGGCUCACCAAGCCAACGAUCUGUAGCUGGUCUGAAAGGACAACCAGCCACACUGGAACUGAAACACGGUCCAAACUCCUACGGGAGGCAGCAGUGGGGAAUUUUGGACAAUGGGCGCAAGCCUGAUCCAGCAAUGCUGCGUGCAGGAAGAAGGCCUUCGGGUUGUAAACUGCUUUUGUACGGAACGAAACGGUCUGGAUUAAUACUCUGGGCUAAUGACGGUACCGUAAAAAUAAGCACCGGCUAACUACGUG